UACGUAGGGGGCUAGCGUUGUCCGGAAUCAUUGGGCGUAAAGCGCGUGUAGGCGGCCCGGUAAGUCCGCUGUGAAAGUCGGGGGCUCGACCCUCGGAUGCCGGUGGAUACUGUCGGGCUCGAGUACGGAAGAGGCGAGUGGAAUUCCUGGUGUAGCGGUGAAAUGCGCAGAUAUCAGGAGGAACACCAAUUGCGAAGGCAGCUCGCUGGGACGUAACUGACGCUGAGACGCGAAAGCGUGGGGAGCAAACAGG
rnacentral:rRNA from 1 species